UACGUAGGUGGCAAGCGUUGUCCGGAUUUAUUGGGCGUAAAGGGUGCGUAGGUGGCGCCAUAAGUCAGGUGUGAAAUCUCGGGGCUCAACCCCGAAACUGCACUUGAUACUGUGGUGCUGGAGUACUGGAGAGGAGAUUGGAAUUUACGGUGUAGCAGUGAAAUGCGUAGAUAUCGUAAGGAAGACCAGUGGCGAAGGCGAAUCUCUGGACAGUUACUGACACUGAGGCACGAAGGCCAGGGGAGCAAACGGG
rnacentral:rRNA from 1 species